rnacentral:rRNA from 1 species
UACGUAGGUGGCAAGCGUUGUCCGGAUUUAUUGGGUUUAAAGGGUGCGUAGGCGGCUUUGUAGGUCAGUGGUGAAAUAUGGCAGCUCAACUGUCAAGGUGCCAUUGAUACUGCAGAGCUUGAGUACAGAUGAGGUAGGCGGAAUUGACGGUGUAGCGGUGAAAUGCUUAGAUAUCGUCAAGAACACCUAUAGCGAAGGCAGCUUACUAGGCUGUAACUGACGCUGAGGCACGAAAGCGUGGGGAGCGAACAGG